GGAUGUCAUCAUACCAGCACUAAAGCACCGGAUCCCAUCAGAACUCCGAAGUUAAGCGUGCUUGGGCGAGUGUAGUACUAGGAUGGGUGACCUCCUGGGAAGUCCUCGUGUUGCAUUCC
rnacentral:rRNA from 1 species